rnacentral:rRNA from 1 species
CUGCAGUCGAGCGGUAGAGAGAAGCUUGCUUCUCUUGAGAGCGGCGGACGGGUGAGUAAUGCCUAGGAAUCUGCCUGGUAGUGGGGGAUAACGUUCGGAAACGGACGCUAAUACCGCAUACGUCCUACGGGAGAAAGCAGGGGACCUUCGGGCCUUGCGCUAUCAGAUGAGCCUAGGUCGGAUUAGCUAGUUGGUGGGGUAAUGGCUCACCAAGGCGACGAUCCGUAACUGGUCUGAGAGGAUGAUCAGUCACACUGGAACUGAGACACGGUCCAGACUCCUACGGGAGGCAGCAGUGGGGAAUAUUGGACAAUGGGCGAAAGCCUGAUCCAGCCAUGCCGCGUGUGUGAAGAAGGUCUUCGGAUUGUAAAGCACUUUAAGUUGGGAGGAAGGGCAGUUGCCUAAUACGUAACUGUUUUGACGUUACCGACAGAAUAAGCACCGGCUAACUCUGUGCCAGCAGCCGCGGUAAUACAGAGGGUGCAAGCGUUAAUCGGAAUUACUGGGCGUAAAGCGCGCGUAGGUGGUUUGUUAAGUUGGAUGUGAAAUCCCCGGGC